AUAAAUAAGAGUUUGAUCCUAGCUCAGGAUGAACGCUAGCGGCGUGCCUUAGGUAUGCAAGUCGAACGAUCUGGCGCAAGCCAGGUAGUGGCGGACNNNNNNNNNNNNNNNNNNNNNNNNNNNNNNNNNNNNNNNNNNNNNNNNNNNNNNNNNNNNNNNAAGUCAAAGAUUUAUCGGUAAGGGAUCGGCCUAUGUCCUAUCAGCUUGUUGGCGGGGUAAAAGCCCACCAAGGCUACGACGGGUAGGGGGUGUGAAAGCAUGGCCCCCCACAAUGGAACUGAGACACGGUCCAUACACCUACGGGUGGCAGCAAUUAGGAAUCUUGCACAAUGGGCGAAAGCCUGAUGCAGCGACGCCGCGUGAAGGAAGAAUCUUUUCGGAGUGUAAACUUACAUUAAAAAGCCCCGGCUAACUACGUGCCAGCAGCAGCGGUCAUACGUAGGGGGCGAGCGUUAUCCGGUGUUAUUUGGCGUAAAGAGUGCGUAGGCGCUCUCUCAAGUCAUUGGUAAAAGCCCUCAGCUCAACUGAGGAUCUGCCAAUGAUACUGUUAGAGUUGAGGAAGUUAGGGGAUGGCGGAAUUCGUGGUGGAGCAGUGAAAUGCUUUGAUAUCACGAGGAACACCGAAGGCGAAGGCAGCCAUCUGGGACUUUCCUGACGCUGAGGCACGAAAGCAUGGGGAGCGAAACGGAUUAGAUACCCGUGUAGUCCAUGCCGUAAACGAUGCUCGCUGGGUAUGUGGCCCUCCAAGGGUUGGAAGAUUUCCAACUUUUAGAGGGUUGCGUGCCGAAGCUAACGCGUUAAGCGAGCCGCCUGGGAAUUACGGUCGCAAGACUAAAACUCAAAGGAAUUGACGGGGACCCGCACAAGCGGUGGAGCAUGUGGUUUAAUUCGAUGAUAAUCGAAGCACCUCACCAGGAUUUGACAUGUAACUGCAAACCCAGUGAAAGCUGGGCUCUUUCGAAGGUGUUACACAGGUGUUGCAUGGCUGUCGUCAGCUCGAGUCGUGAGAUGUAGGGUUAAGUCCCUUAUCGAGCGCAACCCUUAUCGUGUGUUAGAAAUGUCACGCGAGACUGCCUCGGUUAACGGGGAGGAAGGUGGGGAUGACGUCAAGUCGGUAUUGCCCUUAUGUCCUGGGCGACACGCGUGCUACAAUGGCCGGUACAAUGCGUUGCAAUGCAGCGAUGCGGAGCUAAUCAAUAAAACCGGUCCCAGUUCGGAUUGAAGGCUGAAACUCGCCUUCAUGAAGUCGGAAUCGCUAGUAAUCGCAGGUCAGAUACACUGCGGUGAAUACGUUCUCGGGUCUUGUACACACCGCCCGUCAGCUGGGAAAAGUUGGGGGCACCCGAAGUAUCUUCAAUAAGAAGGUCCUAAGGUGAAAUCAAUGAUUAACAGUAAGUCGUAACAAGGUAGCCGUAGGGGAAUCUGCGGCUGGAUCACCUCCUUU
rnacentral:rRNA from 1 species